AUGUAUGAACUCUUUCUCUCUUUCUAUGUGUGUGUGUGCGCCCGCGUGUGUAUGUAUGUAUGUAUAUAUAUAUAUAUGGUUACCUGGAUCUAUAAGGAAGCCUUCAUUUUGUGUGUUUGUAUGUGUAUGGACUCUCUCUUUCUAUAUGUUUGCCUAUGUCUGUGUGUAUAUGUAUAUAAAUGAGGGGGGGAUAUAUAUGUAUAUGUAUAUCUAUCUAUAUAUGCAUUCAUGUGUGUGUGUAUGAACUCUCUCUCUUUCUAUUUGUUUGUGUAUGUAUGUGUAUGUGUAUGUGUAUAUGUAUAUAAAUGAGGUUACAUGGAUCUAUAAGGUACCCAGAAGCCUAUAUAUAUAUAUAUAUAUAUAUAUAUAUAUAUAUAUAUAUAUAUUCAUGUGUGUUUGUGUGUAUGUAUGAACUCUUUCUCUCUUUCUAUGUGUGUGUGUAUGUGUGUAUAUGUAUGUAUGUAUGUGUGUGUGUGUAUGCAUAUAUAUAAAAGGUUACCUGGAUCUAUAAGGUGUCCAGAAACCCCCCCCCCCUCUCUCUAUAUAUGUAUAUAUUCGUGUGCGUGAACUCUCUCUCUCUUUCUAUGUGUGUGUGUGUGUAUGAUUGAGGUUACCUGGAUCUAUAAGGUGUCCAGAACCCUACAUAUAUAAAUAUGUAUAUGAAAUAUAUGUGUAUAUAUAUAUCAUUCAUGUGUGUUUGUGUGUGUAUGUGUGUAUGAACUCUCUUUCAAUGUGUAUGAAUAUGUGUAUGUAUGUGUGUGUUUGUGUGUGUGUGUGUGUGUGUAUAUAUAUAUAUAAUAUUAUAUCUAUCUAUCUACAUAAAUGUGUCGAGAACCCUACAUAUAUAAAUUUGUAUAUAUAUUUCAUUCAUGUGUGUUUGUGUGUGUAUGUGUGUAUGAACUCUCUUUCAAUGUAUAUGAAUAUGUGUAUGUAUGUGUGUGUUUGUGUGUGCAUAUAUCUAUCUAUCUAUCUAUCUAUCUACAUAAAUGAGAUUGUUUACAUCGAACGGCCCAGCACAAAAAAAGGGUGAAUCCCAAAAUAUUGUGAAUGAUGUGAUUUUUUUUUUCUAGAGGCUCAAUGCUGUAAAAAUGAGUGCGGGGGUUUUACUAUACUGUCCUGAUCCGAAACUAAUGUGCGUAUUUAUUUCCAAGUCCUGAGGCCUUCCACUGCCUCGGAAGGCGCGUUCAGAUUGUGGCCGAGUGGCCUGGCCUGGACGUGGGCUUUCCUUUUCCCCUGCGGCUGGGUGGCUUUGGGGCUGACCCCUUCCCUCCAGACCUCUUGGGGGGACCCUGCCUGCCUGCCUGUCCCCUGCGAGAGGAAUGCCUUGCCUGCCCCUCGCCCGCUUUAAAUGUAUGGUAGCUUUCUCCCUCUAACGCGGCUCUGAAUAAUUCAGUGAACCCCACAACCAGCUGUACCUCUUCCAUUCUUCCCCGCGUUAUAAUUUGGGUUAAUUUUCAAUUUUGGGCCCCAACGUCUCUGCAAUUUGUGUAUGAAUAACAGAAUAAUUUCCCUCUUUUGUUUCGCCUUUCCUGUUCC
rnacentral:lncRNA from 1 species